rnacentral:rRNA from 1 species
UAAUACGUAGGUGGCGAGCGUUGUCCGGAUUUACUGGGCGUAAAGCGCGCGCAGGCGGCUGUUCAAGUCCGAUGUGAAAUCUUCCGGCUUAACUGGAAAACGGCAUCGGAUACUGGACGGCUGGAAGGUGGGAGAGGGUAGCGGAAUUCCCGGUGUAGUGGUGAAAUGCGUAGAUAUCGGGAGGAACACCAGUGGCGAAAGCGGCUACCUGGCCCACUCUUGACGCUGAGGCGCGAAAGCUAGGGGAGCAAACGGGAUUAGAUACCCCGGUAGUCCUAGCCGUAAACGAUGAACACUAGGCGUUGUCGGUAUCGACCCCGGCAGUGCCGAAGCUAACGCAUUAAGUGUUCCGCCUGGGGAGUACGGCCGCAAGGCUA